CAGCCGCCACGGUAAUACGAGGGAAGCUAGCGUUGUUCGGAAUUACUGGGCGUAAAGCGCGCGUAGGCGGCUUUUUAAGUCAGAGGUGAAAGCCCGGGGCUCAACCCCGGAAUUGCCUUUGAAACUGGAAAGCUAGAAUCUUGGAGAGGUCAGUGGAAUUCCGAGUGUAGAGGUGAAAUUCGUAGAUAUUCGGAAGAACACCAGUGGCGAAGGCGACUGACUGGACAAGUAUUGACGCUGAGGUGCGAAAGCGUGGGGAGCAAACAGGAUUAGAUACCCGAGUAGUCCCUGUCUCUUAUAC
rnacentral:rRNA from 1 species